CGGCCUGGCCCGGCACCGCGCUCCCGCCGCCCGCCCGCACCGGCGGCUGCGCGCCUCGCCGCGACAGCCCUUCCGUUCUGCGUUUGCCCCGGAUUUUUGCGUGCUUUCCCCCGCCGUGCCCGGCAGCAUGGGGCUGCCGGCGCUGGAGUUCAGCGAGUGCUGCCUGGACAGUCCGCAGUUCCGGGAGCGGCUGCGCUCCCACGAGGCCGAGCUGGACAAGACCAACAAGUUCAUCAAGGAGCUCAUCAAGGACGGGAAAUCGCUCGUCGCCGCCCUCAAGAACCUGUCGGCCGCCAAGCGCAAGUUCGCAGAUUCCCUCAACGAGUUCAAAUUCCGCUGCAUCGGUGACGCUGAGACCGACGAUGAGAUCUGCAUAGCCAAGUCUCUGCAGGAGUUUGCCACGGUGCUGCGGAACCUGGAAGACGAGCGGAUGCGCAUGAUCGAGAACGCCAGCGAGGUGCUGAUCACGCCGCUGGAGAAGUUCCGCAAGGAGCAGAUUGGGGCUGCCAAGGAUGCCAAAAAGAAAUAUGACAAGGAGACUGAGAAAUACUGUGGUGUCCUAGAAAAGCACUUGAACUUGUCUUCCAAGAAGAAAGAAUCCCAGCUUCAGGAGGCAGACAGCCAGGUGGACCUGGUUCGGCAGCACUUCUACGAGGUCUCCCUGGAAUAUGUCUUCAAGGUGCAGGAGGUCCAGGAGAGGAAGAUGUUUGAGUUUGUGGAACCUCUGCUGGCCUUUCUGCAGGGUCUGUUCACAUUCUACCACCACGGCUACGAGCUUGCAAAGGACUUCAGUGACUUCAAGACAGAGCUGACAAUCAGCAUCCAGAAUACAAGAAACCGCUUUGAAGGAACGAGGUCAGAGGUUGAAGCUUUGAUGAAGAAGAUGAAGGAGAAUCCCCACGAGCACAAAAACAUCAGCCCUUACACGAUGGAGGGCUAUCUCUACGUGCAGGAGAAGCGUCACUUUGGGACCUCCUGGGUGAAGCAUUACUGCACCUACCAGAGGGAAUCGAAGCGCAUCACGAUGGUGCCCUUCGACCAGAAGUCAGGAGGAAAAGGGGGCGAGGAUGAAGCUGUCACCCUGAAAUCCUGUACACGGCGGAAAACAGACACCAUUGAGAAGAGGUUCUGCUUUGAUGUGGAGGCUGUGGAUCGGCCCGGCGUCAUCACCAUGCAGGCGCUCUCGGAGGAGGACCGGCGGCUGUGGAUGGAGGCCAUGGACGGCCGGGAGCCGGUGUACAACUCGAACAAGGACAGCCAGAGCGAAGGCACUGCCCAGCUGGACAGCAUCGGCUUCAGCAUCAUCAAGAAGUGCAUCCACGCUGUGGAAACAAGAGGGAUCAACGAGCAGGGGCUCUACCGCAUCGUCGGGGUGAACUCCAGGGUUCAGAAGCUGCUCAGUGUAUUGAUGGGACCACGUGCUGGCCGAGGCUGGGAGGUCCUGGGCCCCGUGGGCAGGUCUGAAGAUCCCAAGACAGCCACAGAGACAGACACAGAGAUCUGUGCAGAGUGGGAGAUCAAGACCAUUACUAGUGCACUGAAAACAUACCUGAGAAUGCUCCCAGGGCCCCUGAUGAUGUACCAGUUUCAAAGGAGCUUCAUCAAAGCAGCGAAACUAGAGAAUCAGGAGUCCAGGGUGUCGGAGAUCCACAGCCUCGUUCAUCGGCUCCCGGAGAAAAACAGGCAGAUGCUGCACUUGCUCAUGAACCAUUUGGCAAAGGUUGCAGAUAAUCACAAGCAGAACCUGAUGACUGUUGCUAAUCUGGGUGUGGUGUUUGGGCCGACGCUGCUUCGACCUCAAGAGGAAACGGUGGCUGCCAUCAUGGACAUCAAAUUCCAGAACAUCGUGAUUGAAAUUUUAAUAGAGAACCACGAGAAGAUAUUUAACACGGUGCCAGAGGCUCCGGCGUCGAACUCGCAGCUGCUGUUAUCGCGCAAGAAGAGCACGGAGUCGAAGCCUCCCUCGUGCAGCGAGCGGCCGCUGACGCUCUUCCACACGGCCCAGCCCAGCGAGAGGCAGGAGAACAGGAACAGCAUCAUCAACUCCAGCCUGGAAUCUGUCGUCUCUUCAAAUGUAAACAGCUUCCUCAACUCCAACAGCGCUCCCCAGCCCAGCCUGAACUCGAGUGAUCUUGAACUAGAAGUAAUUAAACCCAACAGGCCAAAUUCCCUGAAGAGCCCCUCGCAAAGCCCUCCUGAGUAAGAAGAAGGAAAAAAAGUCCAGCUGACAUUUGCUGCCUGCAGGCAGCUGCCAGAACUUCCCCGCAGCCUCUCACCAUCUCUGCUCUAUUUGUGAGAAACAAAGGAAAUUGGAUCCUACAAGAAAACUGUUCUCAAAACACCAGAGACCUCGGGAUAGCCCGUUCCCUCAUGUGCACUGACAUCUCCAGCAAGGCAGGACUUGGGUCUGGCAGUCACAUAAGCUCAGGAAGGUGAAACUCAAGCAGCAGCUUGGAAAUAAAUACCUGUAUUUCAUGGGAGGGAGGUGAACCCUUCAUACCCAUCAUACCCCAGGGUCUGUCGGUGCUGGGGAGCAGCUCAGGUGAGUCCUGAGCUGUCCAUGGGCUCUUCUUGAGGAAGUGUUCUGGAAGGACUUGCAGAGCAGCUCAGUCACCGUAGGACCGUGUUCAUCUCCUCUGUGAGCCCCUGAGGGGCACGGGGUGCUCUGCACACCCCAGUGCUCGCGCUGCAAUCAGUGAGCCGCUCUCUCCGUGCGUUCGCUGGGCACAGAGUGUGACACCAAGGAUCCAAAGGCACCAAAACCCUGCUCCAAAUUAGGGGUGACUUCUUAGGCAGAGGCUGGCCCCAGUGUUGGUUCUUUCAGGCUUUUUUCCCUGGUAACUCUGAGAUCCUGCUGGCAUUCCCCGCUGUCAGGAGCGGAGCGGGCGCGCGGUUCUGGAGCGAUGACAGCGCCUUGAGGAGAAAUGAGAGCUGCAUUCUUCUGCCAUGACUUCAUCUCAGAAAGUGCAGUAGCAAUUUCCAGUCCUGGAGCCCUGUGUCACUGGAUUUUCCUUCCUUUGUGCACUGGAGAGGACCAGGGCUGGUGGCAGACAUGGUGCCCAUCCCAUGCUGACACACCAGUGCCAUGUCCCAGUGCCCAUCCCAGGCUGGCACACCAGUGCCAUGUCCCAGUGCCCAUCCCAGGCUGGCACACCAGUGCCAUGUCCCAGUGCCCAUCCCAGGCUGGCACACCAGUGCCAUGUCCCAGUGCCCAUCCCAGGCUGGCACACCAGUGCCAUGUCCCAGUGCCCAUCCCAGGCUGGCACACCAGUGCCAUGUCCCAGUGCCCAUCCCAGGCUGGCACACCAGUGCCAUGUCCCAGUGCCCAUCCCAGGCUGGCACACCAGUGCCAUGUCCCAGUGCCCAUCCCAGGCUGGCACACCAGUGCCAUGUCCCAGUGCCCAUCCCAGGCUGGCACACCAGUGCCAUGGCCUCUUUCACCUCGAGCUUACAGCCCAGUGCUGGGAGGGCUGGUGGGUGUUGGUGGCCACUCUCAGCAGGACAGGCUCAGCCACAUUUUGGUCACCAGGUCAUUGCCCCUCCAAGUCCCACCUUGGCCAGGCUCCUCUUGGAGAAGGGAAUUGCUAGGCCGUCUCUUUGAAAGAACUGGUGCUUAAAGGGUUAAUUUUGGCAGUUUGGGAUGACUUGGUGACCUUGGUAGCACCUCCUGUUUGGGGUGGGAAUAGAAGGAGUAUCUGGUAAGUACCAAUGGUUGUCAGGUUUGGUUAAGACCAAGGAAAACUCAUUUUUCAAAAGUUUUGGUGAUAGAAAUGCUAACGGAUUGUUUUUACAUAGUGAUGAUUAUUAGCAGAACAUUCUGAGGAUCUUGAAUGACUGCCUGACAGCAUUCCCUGUUUUCCAGCCUCUGGUGAAGUCAUGCUGCACUCACUGCUGUAUCCAUUUCUCUGUGUGUGUAAUCUUCUGACACAAUAAAGGUGUUGCCUGUAA